rnacentral:rRNA from 1 species
UACGUAGGGUGCGAGCGUUAAUCGGAAUUACUGGGCGUAAAGGGUGCGUAGGCGGUUUGCUAAGACAGGUGUGAAAUCCCCGGGCUUAACCUGGGAACUGCAUUUGUGACUGCAAGGCUAGAGUGUGUCAGAGGGAGGUGGAAUUCCGCGUGUAGCAGUGAAAUGCGUAGAGAUGCGGAGGAACACCGAUGGCGAAGGCAGCCUCCUGGGAUAACACUGACGCUCAUGCACGAAAGCGUGGGGAGCAAACAGG